GUUUGGUCCUAACCUUAAUAUUAAUUUUAACUACAAUUAUACAUGCAAGUAUCCGCCCCCCUGUGAAAACACCCUAUUUUACCUAUUAGUAAAAAAGGAGUUGAUAUCAGGCACUAAAAAGCCUAUAACAUCUAGCGUAGCCACACCCUCAAGGGAACUUCAGCAGUAAUAAAUAUUGGACAAUAAGCGAUAAAAGCUUGAACCAGUAAUAGUUAAUAAGACCGGUCAAUCUCGUGCCAGCCACCGCGGUUAUACGAGAGGUCUAAAUUAAUAAUAACGGCUCAAAGGGUGGUUAGAGUAUAUUAAAUAAUAAUAAGACUAAAAAUAAAUUAAGCUGUCGCACGCAAAAAUUUAAUAUAAACCCUAAGACGAAAGUUGUCUUAAAAUAAAACUAACUUGAAGCCACGACAUCUAGGAUACAAACUAGGAUUAGAUACCCUACUAUGCCUAGACAUAAACUUUGAUAACUUC
rnacentral:rRNA from 1 species